rnacentral:rRNA from 1 species
GAUGAACGCUGGCGGCGUGCCUAAUACAUGCAAGUCGAGCGAACGGACGAGAAGCUUGCUUCUCUGAUGUUAGCGGCGGACGGGUGAGUAACACGUGGAUAACCUACCUAUAAGACUGUGAUAACUUCGGGAAACCGGAGCUAAUACCGGAUAAUAUUUUGAACCGCAUGGUUCAAAAGUGAAAGACGUUCUUGCUGUCACUUAUAGAUGGAUCCGCGCUGCAUUAGCUAGUUGGUAAGGUAACGGCUUACCAAGGCAACGAUGCAUAGCCGACCUGAGAGGGUGAUCGGCCACACUGGCACUGAGACACGGUCCAGACUCCUACGGGAGGCAGCAGUAGGGAAUCUUCCGCAAUGGGCGAAAGCCUGACGGAGCAACGCCGCGUGAGUGAUGAAGGUCUUCGGAUCGUAAAACUCUGUUAUUAGGGAAGAACAUAUGUGUAAGUAACUGUGCACAUCUUGACGGUACCUAAUCAGAAAGCCACGGCUAACUACGUG